AUUCAGAAAGCUGAGUGAACGUGCCUGUUUUAUACUAAGAGAGCUGCACCGUGUGUGUGUGUGUGUGUGUGUGUGUGUGUGCGUGCGUGCGUGCGUGUGUGUGUACGGUACCCCUGUGACUGUUUUCUCUACUCUGAAAGCACAGAGAAUGGGAUCAGGAGGAGGCUCAGCACUAAUGAAGCACGACUCCACACCAUGAGAAAGUGACAGAGGGAUAAAACACAGGUGUCCUUGCUCCUUUCUCAACUGUGGAUUUCUAUAGAGCUCUGUGAGUGUCUGUGUGUGUGUCUGUGAGUGUCUGUGAGUGUCUGUGUGUGUGUCUGUAUGUGUCUGAGUGUUUGUCUGUGUGUCUGUAUGUGUCUGUAUGUGUCUGUGUGUGUGUCUGUAUGUGUCUGUGUGUGUCUGUGUGUGUCUGUGUGUGUGUCUGUAUGUGUCUGUAUGUGUCUGUGUGUGUCUGUGUGUGUGUCUGUAUGUCUCUGUGUGUGUGUCUGUGUGUGUCUGUGUGUGUCUGUGUGUGUGUCUGUAUGUGUCUGUGUGUUGUCUGUGUAUGUGUCUGUAUGUGUCUGUGUGUGUCUGUGUGUGUGUCUGUGUGUGUCUGUAUGUGUCUGUGAGUGUCUGUGUGUGUGUCUGUAUGUGUCUGUGUGUGUGUCUGUAUGUGUCUGU
ensembl:lncRNA